rnacentral:rRNA from 1 species
AAGAUUAAUACCCGAUGGUAUGAUGAGAUUGCAUGAUAGCAUCAUUAAAGAUUUAUCGGUGUACGAUGGGGAUGCGUUCCAUUAGGUAGUAGGCGGGGUAACGGCCCACCUAGCCAACGAUGGAUAGGGGUUCUGAGAGGAAGGUCCCCCACAUUGGAACUGAGACACGGUCCAAGCUCCUACGGGAGGCAGCAGUGAGGAAUAUUGGUCAAUGGACGAGAGUCUGAACCAGCCAAGUAGCGUGAAGGAUGAAGGUCCUACGGAUUGUAAACUUCUUUUAUAAGGGAAUAAACCCUCCCACGUGUGGGAGCUUGUAUGUACCUUAUGAAUAAGCAUCGGCUAACUCCGUGCCAGCAGCCGCGGUAAUACGGAGGAUGCGAGCGUUAUCCGGAUUUAUUGGGUUUAAAGGGAGCGCAGACGGGUCGUUAAGUCAGCUGUGAAAGUUUGGGGCUCAACCUUAAAAUUGCAGUUGAUACUGGCGUCCUUGAGUGCGGUUGAGGUGUGCGGAAUUCGUGGUGUAGCGGUGAAAUGCUUAGAUAUCACGAAGAACUCCGAUUGCGAAGGCAGCACACUAAUCCGUAACUGACGUUCAUGCUCGAAAGUGUGGGUAUCAAACAGGAUUAG